UUAGUGUGUAUCAAUCGAGUUUCUGACCUAUCAGCUUUUGAUGUUAGGGUAUUGGCCUAACAUGGCUAUGACGGGUAACGGGGAAUUAGAGUUCGAUUCCGGAGAGGGAGCCUGAGAAAUAGCUACCACAUCUAAGGAAGGCAGCAGGCGCGUAAAUUACCCAAUUCUAAAGAAGAGAGGUAGUGACAAGAAAUAACAAUGCAAGGUCAAUUUUUGGUUUUGUAAUUGGAAUGGUGGGAAUUUAAAACCUUCCCAGAGUAACAAUUGGAGGGCAAGUCUGGUGCCAGCAGCCGCGGUAAUUCCAGCUCCAAUAGCGUAUAUUAAAAUUGUUGCAGUUAAAACGCU
rnacentral:rRNA from 1 species